GCGAAGUCGCGAGGCGGAGCAAAUCUCAAAAACCGGUACCCAGUUCGGACUGCAGGCUGCAACCCGCCUGCACGAAGCCGGAGUUGCUAGUAAUCGCGAAUCAGAAUGUCGCGGUGAAUGCGUUCCCGGGUCUUGUACACACCGCCCGUCACACCAUGGAAGUUGGGGGUGCCCCAAAGCCGGCAAGCAAAUAUGCUGUCUAAGGCAAAACCAAUGACUGGGGUGAAGUCGUAACAAGGUAAC
rnacentral:rRNA from 1 species